rnacentral:rRNA from 1 species
GAAAGUAAACAAGGGCGCAUGGAGGAUGCCUAGGCUCUCGGAGGCGAAGAAGGACGUGAUAAGCUGCGAAAAGUUACGGUAAGGCGCAAAUAGCCCUAGACCCGUAAAUAUCCGAAUGGGGCAACCCGGCCAGCAAUGGCCAUACCGCCAAGCGGUAAGCCAACGCGGGGAACUGAAACAUCUAAGUACCCGCAGGAAAAGAAAAUAACAAUGAUUCCGCCAGUAGUGGCGAGCGAACGCGGAACAGCCCAAACCACUCGUGUUACGGCACGAGUGGGGUAGAAGGAUCCACGCCACGGCAAGAAAUAAGUUAGCAGAAUACGAUGGAAAUCGUAGCCAAAGACGGUGACAGCCCAGUACGCGAAAACCGACAGAAGCCCAGUGGACACCUGAGUAACCCAGGACACGAGAAAUCCGGGGCGAAUCAGCGGGGCCCAUCCCGUAAGGCUAAAUACUCCCGAGAGACCGAUAGCGAACCAGUACUGUGAAGGAAAGGUGAAAAGCACCUCGAACAGAGGAGUGAAAUAGUCCCUGAAACCGUCUGCCUACAAGCGGUCGGAGCAACGUAAGUUGUGACGGCGUGCCUUUUGCAUAAUGAACCUACGAGUUACUUUCUCCGGCAAGGUUAAGGGCUUCAGGCCCGGAGCCGAAGCGAAAGCGAGUCUUAAUAGGGCGUGAUAGUCGGAGUGAGUAGACGCGAAACCAAGUGAUCUACCCUUGGUCAGGAUGAAGGUUGGGUAACACCAACUGGAGGUCCGAAUGGGUAUACGUUGAAAAGUGUUCCAAUGAACUGAGGGUAGGGGUGAAAGGCUAAUCAAACUUGGAGAUAGCUCGUACUCCCCGAAAUGCAUUUAGGUGCAGCCUUUAUUUAGUAUAGCAUGAGGUAGAGCGACUGAUUGGAUGCGAGGGCUUCACCGCCUAUCAAGUCCAGAUAAACUCCGAAUGCGUGCUAUAUAUUGAUAAGGAGUGAGGGCGCGGGUGCUAAGGUCCGCGUCCGAGAGGAGAAGAAUCCAGACCAUCAGCUAAGGUCCCCAAAUAACAGUUAAGUUGAACUAACGAAGUCGGACUGCAGAGACAGCUAGGAUGUUGGCUUGGAAGCAGCCAUUCAUUUAAAGAGUGCGUAACAGCUCACUAGUCGAGGAGUCCGGCGUGGAUAAUACUCGGGCAUAAACUGUUUACCGAAGCUAUGGAUGUAGAAAUACAUGGUAGGGGAGCAUUCCAACGGCGUCGAAGGUGAAGGAUGACCUUUGCUGGAGCUUUUGGAAACGCAAAUGUAGGUAUAAGUAACGAUAAAGGAGGUGAGAAACCUCCUCGCCGAAAGACUAAGGUUUCCUGAUCAACGUUAAUCGGAUCAGGGUAAGUCGGGACCUAAGGUUAAGCCGAACGGCGAUACCGAUGGAAGAAUGGUUUAAUAUUCCCAUACUACUUUAUGGAGCGAUGUGGAGACGGAGAAGUGAAAGUCCUGCCAUCUGACGGAAUAGGUGGUUGAAGAGUGUAGAUGUAGAUUCCUGUAGGCAAAUCCGCAGGGAGAGUCGACCUUGAUAGUAUGCCGCGUGCUUGCACAAGGCAAAAUGGACGUAAUCAGGCUCCCAAGAAAAUCCGCUAAGCAUAUUCAUAAAGUACCCGUACCGUAAACGGACACACGUAGUUGGGUUGAAAAUACUGAGGCGCUCGAGUGAUUCACGGUUAAGGAACUAGGCAAAUUGACCCUGUAACUUCGGGAUAAAGGGUCCCUACUGAGAGGUAGGGCGCAGAGAAUAGGUCCAGGCAACUGUUUAACAAAAACACAUGGCUGUGCGAAAUAGAAAUAUGAAGUAUACAGCCUGACACCUGCCCGGUGCUGGAAGGUUAAGAGGAGAGCUCAUCGCAAGAGAAGGCUUGAAUUGAAGCCCCAGUAAACGGCGGCCGUAACUAUAACGGUCCUAAGGUAGCGAAAUUCCUUGUCGGGUAAGUUC